ensembl:lncRNA
CUUUAUUCCUUUAAACUGUGGUCCUUACAAGCUGCUACUCAAAUUGCUCUCAUUUAGGUUCCUGAUGUUCAUCUGUGAUCUGCAGGGAUUGCUCUGCUGCUCUGAAUUGCACCAGAGCAAUCCCAGCCAACUGAACAGACGCUCCUCUUCACUCCUCUGCUUUAUGGUGAUGAUGCCACUGGUACUGGACCUUUGGAGACACAGUUACUUCUCCUGAUCACCACUGGGUUCCUUCACAGCCUGCUGUUACUCCUGCUUCUCUGAAGUAUAUACUCUUAUGUUGGAUGGGAAAAUAUGGCCUCUAACAACAUGAGUAACAUCCUUUCACUGCACACCAGUUGCACAUAGAGAAGAGGAAAACUAGAAUGUCAAGAAGGAAAAAGCACCAUCUCUUUUACCUGUCAGUACUAGGACCUACAGACCUUUCCAUCUUAAUUUAUCAUGAAGACCUAGCUAAAAAUACAGUUCCUGACAAGUGGUUCCAAAUAAAUUAAUUGAAAACAUCAACAAGAAAGAUCAUUGACACUUCUGCUAGUUUUACUUUCCUGCAAAAUGAAUCAUUCUGGGUACUGCUGUUUCUUCUGUAGCCUGGAGUAUAACUGUUUACACAUUUAAAAGAGGAUUGUUCAGCUCAUGCAGUCACCUUGGAAAAUGCCAACCAGAUUCCUUUAUGAUGGAACUAAACUGGGAUAUAUUCCCUGGAAGCAUUGUGAAAAUACACCAACUGCAAAAAGGGACAAAGCUCAUGGGCAACACAAGGACCAAUCUAAAUUAAACUCCCCUUGAAAUGUGUACAUCGGGGACACUGGAUCUUAAACAUUAUUUGUUUUGUUUUGCAAAUCUACUGCUUAGCUACACUGCUAGACCAUACAUAACCCUGAAGACCAUAAAGUUUAUUCACUGAAUGCUGAACUUCUCUGAAAAUCUAAAUGUGAGAAUGACAAAAAGCAGUUCACAGACAUUGUAGUUCUUCUCUGCACAGAUAAAUGCACAGUGUCUCAAAAAUACUUCAACAGAGUCUUUUGAAAAUCCAUGGCAUCAUCGGAGAAACAGAGCUGACUGAUUUUGUCUGAAAAAAAAAUUUAGAAGAUGGUUUCAUUUGUAUUUUAGCACAGGAAAUUGUCAGAAGUCUGCCAACAGUUCUGUAAAAUUCUCCAUCUCCUCACUACUUCUUCAAUCUGCAUCCUUUCCCUAAUGAAAUAUACCAUCUCUGCUAUCAAUUCAGCAGUGUGCAAGCACACGCUCAGCUUUCUAGGAGCAAUUCAGUAACAUUCAACCACCCAGAUGUCUGGAAAUGUCUUCACCAGGAACCUGGCAUAACUGGUACAGAUGCUGAAGGAACCUGGGUGAUGGUUGGCAAAAAAGAGGGACUAAUACAAUUAAAAGAAGAUUAUACAAUUGCUGUCAACAACUCAGAUUGGAUAAAAUAUCAGUGCAUCAUACAUGAAGAUAAUUUAUAUGUGCAAGCUUUAAACAUGGAUAAUGUCUUGUGAAUUUCAUGAAGAAGAGAUCGAAUCAUUGCUAAUUCCGAAGUUCAGUAAAAGUAUGAAUGCUCACCAUAGGGAGAUCGCUUACUUUUCUGAAGGAAGGUGGCUGUAUUGGGGCAGUAUGUACAUUUGUGAACAACCGUUUUCAAGGAUGAAACACAGGAAGAGUAAAAUUUCACCAAAAAUCUCUGAUGAACACCUUGAGAACUCACAGAGAAUUGCAACCACUGCUAUAAAACCAGACAUUAAUGCAUUACUUUCACAAAAAAAGCUCUUGGUUGCAACUGACUCCCAGUCCUUGGACUCCCACCCACUUCAUAAUUAAGUGCCCUACCUGAAAAGAAGAAUAGAUAUACAUCAGAGGAAACUGCGUCCAUCUUCCCUAGUGGAGAACAUCAUGAUGUUCUGCAGUGACUGCACUGGGCUAGGAAAAGAAAUGACUGCUGCUGGUAAGUGAACAGAAAAACAGAAGAGUGACUAACUAGGUCUGCAACAGGGAUAACAUCUCACUUUGCUUGGAACAGUACUGCAGCAGAACCCUGCAGUAUAGGAGCAGAAGUCUACUUCAUUAAAUACUGUAUGAUUAUAUGAAGUGUUAAAACACAGAAAUCACUACCAACUAUACUACCCAUCAUAACAUGCUCAGUUUGGACUUUGAGCUACCUUCAAAACUUUUUUAUUUUUAAUUAUUUUUUUAAAUAUAACAGUUCUGCCCAACACCAGAAUGGAUGAAGUAUAUAGCAGCUUUUGUGAACAUACACUGUGUUUGAAAACUAUGUUAUGUAUAUUUUAAUUUGGAGGUCAAAUUCUGUGGGUUCCCCUUAUUUAGGUUGUGCCAGCCCAUGGAAUCAACUAAAGUAACAUGGAUUUGGCCAUACAUCAGAGCAGGAAAGCAUACCGCAAAGAACCAUGGUUUUAUGUCUGUGCAGUUAUGCCACAUUCUCACCUUUAUGAGGCAUGGCUUGCAGCCAUGCAGAGGGAAGAAUGUGUGGAAAUCAGGAACCCAUGGAAAUAUUCUUCUAAACCCAUAGAGCUGAUGCCAUUUGAGCAUAAACAUUAACAUUCUAAUCUAAAACGUUUUAUUCUUUACUGAAACUGACGUUAAGUGCAGUGAAUAACAUAAUCACUGAACAAUCCCAUGUGAUGGCGAAUGCUGUUGUUUUCAACAAAGACAAAACCAAAAGUAUAGACACUUACCUUCCUUCCCUCCUUUCUUUUUGCACUUUUUCAGUUCUUUCCUUCUCUUCCCUCAUUCUCCCUUGUUCUAAUUUUUUACAGAGGAAAAGAAAAGAAAAUGUUGAAACAGCAAAAGAAAUCUUUAAAGAAAUUGAUAUUUUGAAAGGUAAAUGUUAAAUAAAAUUGUGAGAAGAGCUUUUCACCAGCUCAGAAUAAUGGGUCUUAUUGUACUGCUCUUUCUGUGAACUCCUCAAACCUGUGGCCCUGGGAUGGUGACACAGAUUCCCUGCAAUCUGCAGAGGAACUGCCAGUGCACUAUUCAGUGAUAAUAUUGAUAGCAUCUCACCUUGCUUGCUUCACACAGAUCACUUUUCCCAAUUUUCUGUCUGCCUUGAAAAGUAUGUGCUCUUUCCUUGUCACCUCCCCCUGUGCCGGUAGGCGUGGGACUCAGCAUGUGUACAUGUUAGACAGACCUUUCUUCCAACAAUCUGUCUUUCUUUUUACUCCUUUCACCUGGACCUGCAGUCAUACUAUUAAUAUAAUGGCUCCUUUUGUGCAGAAUGACGCAAAGGAAUUUCAGGGCUUGGAUUUAUUUCUCAACAAGUCAGAAACAGUUUUUUAAACACUGCCAUUUAUUUCCCAGAAGCACUGAAUCAUCUUUGUGGCUGCGGUGCCAUGAAUUAUGCCUCAGAAUGCAUACAAAAUGGUGUCUUUCGUGGAAGGUUGGCUCAAUUAUUAGCAUAUCAUCAGAGUGAAAAUGUGUGUGAGGUGGCAAAUUCUCAUGAACAUGAAUUCCAGAUUUGGUCUGUCUUGAUAAGAAGUGGAUAGGAGAACAGGAGGAAACGGCACUGAUGCUUCAAAACAACUAGAGGCUGGAAAGUGUGGGGGG